UCGCUAAACUUUUCUCACUCUCUCCGGUGGACUACUCUUCAACACAUCGCAUUCCGUUUUACCAUACCUCUCUUGACUGCAAGAAUGUUGUCAUUGUUCCCAUUCUCACGAAUCAUGUUAAGGUACGCUCUUCUUCAAAUCCCAAAUUCUGUUCCUCAUUCCGCUCUCGGUCUUUGCUUCCCUUCAACUUCAUCCCUACACUCUCACUCUCACUCUCAGCCCCAAUCGCUUGAUGAAGCUGUUGAUUCCUUCACUCGCAUGCUCUUUAUGUGUCGCCCUCCAUCCAUCCUUCAAUUCCCCAAGAUUUUGGGAUCUCUUGCCAAGACCAACCAUUGCCCCACCGCCAUUUCCCUUUUUCAGCAAUUGCAAUCCAGGCUUCUGCAAAUUCCAAUCUUUUACUGUCAUUCAAAGCCAAACUGAGCAAAGUUUCAUAUGCAAAGAAGAUGGAGAAGAAAAGAGAGAUUGUGGAGCUGUAUAGGGAGAGGCUGGACAACACUCUUGCCUCACCUCAUAUGACAAAUUAUCACAUGCUCAAAAACCUUGUUCAGACUCAACUCUUGCAUUCUUCAAAACAACAAGAAUUCUACCAAGGUGAAGGUGCCGAUAGCUUAAGGUGAAGAAAGAAAAUUCCUAGAAGAAAAUGAGCUAAGGGAAAAGAAAAGAAAAGCAGCAGCAUGAAGCCAACACUCCAUUUCUUUCAAAAUGGAAAAAAGGCUGAUGAACUUAUAGGUGCCGAUGUUGCAUGAUUGAACUAUAUUACAGAGAAACUCUUCAAGAAGGACUGAUGGUUUUCAGAGGUGGGAAUGGCUGAUGGUUGAUGAAGUACAAAAUGAUCAAACUGCAACUGCUUAAUAUUUUAUUUUUUUUUAAAAUAUUAUUCACAGUCAUCAUUUUAUUCUAUUUCAAAUUUCCAUGAGAGAAGAGAGAAUAUGCAUACAUGUUUAGGACAUGGGACAUAUGCAUUUACAUGUAGAAUAUCGUUGAGCCUGAAGUUUCAAGAACUUGUGUCACUUAUUUUUACACUUAAUAAUAGUUUUCGAGCUUUAUUUUUCAGAA